rnacentral:rRNA from 1 species
CCUACGGGAGGCAGCAGUGGGGAAUUUUUCGCAAUGGGGGCAACCCUGACGAAGCAAUGCCGCGUGGAUGAAGAAGGCCUUCGGGUUGUAAAGUCCUUUCGUGGGGGACGAAAAGGUGGUUCCUAAUACGAGCUGCUGUUGACGUGAACCCAAGAAGAAGCACCGGCUAACUCCGUGCCAGCAGCCGCGGUAAUACGGGGGGUGCAAGCGUUAAUCGGAAUCACUGGGCGUAAAGGGUGCGUAGGCGGUACGUUAGGUCUGUCGUGAAAUCCCCGGGCUCAACCUGGGAAUGGCGGUAGAAACCGGCGAACUAGAGUAUGGGAGAGGGUGGUGGAAUUCCAGGUGUAGCGGUGAAAUGCGUAGAGAUCUGGAGGAACAUCAGUGGCGAAGGCGGCCACCUGGCCCAAUACUGACGCUGAGGCACGAAAGCGUGGGGAGCAAACAGGAUUAGAUACCUGGUAGUCACGCCCUAAACGAUGAAUACUAGAUGUUUGGUACCUAACCGUACUGAGUGUCGUAGCUAACGCGAUAAGUUUUCCCGCCUGGGAAGUACGGCCGCAAGGUUAAAAACUCAAAAGGAAUUGACGG